AUUGAACGCUGGCGGCAUGCCUUACACAUGCAAGUCGAACGGCAGCACGGGUGCUUGCACCUGGUGGCGAGUGGCGAACGGGUGAGUAAUACAUCGGGACGUACCUUAUCGUGGGGGAUAACGCAGCGAAAGCUGUGCUAAUACCGCAUACGCCCUGAGGGGGAAAGCGGGGGAUCGAAAGACCUCGCGCGAUUAGAGCGGCCGAUGCCUGAUUAGCUUGUUGGUGGGGUAAAAGCCCACCAAGGCGACGAUCAGUAGCUGGUCUGAGAGGACGAUCAGCCACACUGGGACUGAGACACGGCCCAGACUCCUACGGGAGGCAGCAGUGGGGAAUUUUGGACAAUGGGGGCAACCCUGAUCCAGCAAUGCCGCGUGAGUGAAGAAGGCCUUCGGGUUGUAAAGCUCUUUUGUCAGGGAAGAAACACCGGCUCUAACACAGUCCGGGGAUGACGGUACCUGAAGAAUAAGCACCGGCUAACUACGUGCCAGCAGCCGCCGUAA
rnacentral:rRNA from 1 species